UACGUAGGGCGCAAGCGUUGUCCGGAAUUAUUGGGCGUAAAGAGCUCGUAGGCGGUUUGUCGCGUCUGCCGUGAAAACCCGAGGCUUAACCUCGUGGCUUGCGGUGGAUACGGGCCGACUAGAGGUAUGCAGGGGAGAACGGAAUUCCUGGUGUAGCGGUGGAAUGCGCAGAUAUCAGGAGGAACACCGGUGGCGAAGGCGGUUCUCUGGGCAUUACCUGACGCUGAGGAGCGAAAGCAUGGGGAGCGAACAGG
rnacentral:rRNA from 1 species